GUGUGUUUGUGUGCUAAGACGAACAUACCCCACGUGUCGACUAAACAGACUGAAGGAGCAAGUGCUGUUCGCCAGUAGCACCUAUGGAGGCCGGCACGGUACAAGAUGGGGGGCGUCCGUAACGUCCAUUGGAACCUGCCUCCGCUGGCGAACAACAUCGAUGACCGCGAAUCGACAUUCGAACACACAGCGGCAUCGCCUUCGUCGCCACCGCGGCGUUGGGAAGCGCCCGAGGGCGGUCAGAAGGAGCGCGCCCGGACCACGUGUCGCCCGCGCCACGUGUCGCACGCACCACGUGUCGCCCGCACCACGCGUCUCCCUCUUCACGCGUCCUCCCCUCCUGCCUCUCUCGCUCUCAACUCGAGUCCGCCGGCGUUCGUCUGCCAAUCCCGGCCGGUUAAAGGUGGAAGAAGCCUCGGAGCCCAGGGGUGGUUCAACAAACAAACAACAACAACAAUCAUCCGCGUUUACUGAGCAGCAUGCGGCUCUUUUGAGGGCCGCUUCGUGACGUUGUUCGCGUGCAUUUUGCGGCUCUUGAAAUAUUUAUUAUAUAGAUGUAUUUUUUUUUUACCAAAUUUGAAGAAAUGAAAGUUUCUCCUUGUUAUUGUGGCUGCGCGCCUCCUUCUCCAUAACCCUUUGUGAACGCUGGCUCGCCGUUGUCCGCGAUUAAAGAGUGUCCAAAGUUUAA